rnacentral:lncRNA from 1 species
GGCACGUCCAAGCGAGAACUAAAGCUGUGGGGUGGCUGCAGCCUGAGAAUAACUCUUUCCGGAGUAGGAUUCGUGUAGGGGAGGUUAAACUAAAAGUUUUUAGUCUGCGAAAUUCUUUUUGGUUUAUUUUCUUUAAGGCUGACAGAAAUACUGGUCGACCACCGCGAAGAUGGCGGCGGCAGUUACCGUGAUUCCACUGCUGAACAUUG